UGUGUACUCCCUCCGUUCCAAAAUACUUGACUUCCAUUUGUCCAAAAAUGGAUGUACCUAUAUACUAAGAGAUGUCUAGAUACAUAUAUAUUUUGACAAAUAGAAGGCAUGUAGUAUUGUGCAACGGAGGGAGUAGAAU
rfam:Triticum aestivum genome assembly, contig: Triticum_aestivum_CS42_TGACv1_scaffold_094749_2AL